GACGAACCGUGCGAACGUUGUUCGGAAUCACUGGGCUUAAAGGGCGCGUAGGCGGGCUGACAAGUCUGGGGUGAAAUGCCGCGGCUCAACCGUGGAACUGCCUCAGAUACUGUCGGCCUCGAGGAAGGUAGGGGCAUGCGGAACUGUAGGUGGAGCGGUGAAAUGCGUUGAUAUCUACAGGAACUCCGGUGGCGAAAGCGGCGCGCUGGACCACUACUGACGCUGAGGAACGAAAGCUAGGGGAGCAAACAGG
rnacentral:rRNA from 1 species